UGUUAAAACUUUCAUCUAUUUUUAUUGUUAAAAAUUGGUAUGGCUGACAGAAUAACCAGACAGUUACAUAUGCUGUGUCACAUGUAACUCAUUUUGACGUACAAUGACCAAUUUUUAAUAGUAAAAAUGGAUGAAUUUUUUAACA
rfam:Gossypium hirsutum cultivar TM-1 chromosome 5, whole genome shotgun sequence